CCUACGGGAGGCUGCAGUGGGGAAUAUUGCACAAUGGGGGAAACCCUGAUGCAGCGACGCCGCGUGAAGGAAGAAGUAUUUCGGUAUGUAAACUCCUAUCAGUAGGGAAGAAAAUGACGGUACCUGACUAAGAAGCCCCGGCUAACUACGUGCCAGCAGCCGCGGUAAUACGUAGGGGGCAAGCGUUAUCCGGAUUUACUGGGGGUAAAGGGAGCGUAGGCGGUUUAGCAAGUCAGAAGUGAAAGCCUAGGGCUUAACUACGGGACUGCAUUUGAAACUGUUGAACUAGAUUGCAGGAGAGGUAAGUGGAAUUCUUGGUGUAGGGGUAAAAUGCGUAGAGAUUAAGAGGAACACUAGUUGCGAAGGCGACCUACUGGAACGUAAAUGACGCUGAGGCUCGAAAGCGUGGGGAGCAAACAGGAUUAGAUACCCCUGUAGUC
rnacentral:rRNA from 1 species